CCUACGGGUGGCAGCAGUGGGGGAUAUUGCACAAUGGGGGAAACCCUGAUGCAGCGACGCCGCGUGUGGGAAGACGGUCCUCUGGUUUGUAACCCACUGUCCCCAGGGACGAAGAUGACGGUACCUGGGGGGGAAGCUCCGGCUAAAUACGGGCCAGCAGCCGCGGUAAUACGUAGGGAGCGAGCGUUGUCCGGAAUUACUGGGUGAAAAGGGAGCGUAGGCGGGACUGCAAGUUGGGUGUCAAAUCUACCGGCUCAACCGGUAGCCGCACUCCAAACUGCAGUUCUUGAGUGCAGUAGAGGCAGGCGGAAUUCCUGGUGUAGCGGUGAAAUGCGUAGAUAUUAGGAGGAACACCAGUGGCGAAGGCGGCCUGCUGGGCUUUUACUGACGCUGAGGCUCGAAAGUGUGGGGAGCAAACAGGAUUAGAUACCCCUGUAGUC
rnacentral:rRNA from 1 species